rnacentral:lncRNA from 1 species
AUGUACUCACACACAUACACCCCAGAGUCCCCCUCUGUCAGUGCUUUGAAUGUGACUUUGACAUCCUCCAGUUUUCCUGUAGUGAUCAGUCUGUCAGUGUACCCGGGCUGUACUGUCAAUGUUCCGUCUUUGUUCACAAACAGCACUUCACCCUCCUGGGUGAACUUCCUUCUCACAUACAGGCCGUCUAGACCCGGCACUGAGACAGAGCAGGAGAAGCUCACAGACUCCCCCGGCCUCGCCUCUGUGUAUGGAGGCCUCUGGGUGACUGUGGAUCAGACGGGUUCCAUUGGAAUAUUCUGCACACGCUGCUGCCAAUGGACGAGCUGGAUUUUAUUACAGAAUGUGUGCAGGAGUAUUUGGGAUCAAAAUCCUUAUAAAAAAAAAGCAAGGAAUAAACUAGCCUCUUAAUCGUGAACGGUGAAA